rnacentral:tRNA from 1 species
ACUUGACUGGCUCAGUCAGUAGAGCAUUGGACUCUUGAUCUCAGAGUUGUGAGUUAAAGCCCCAUGUUGUGUG